rfam:Ovis aries breed Texel chromosome 14, whole genome shotgun sequence.
UCUUUGGCUGUCCAGUGGUCAGGACUCGGCACUGUCACUUCUGGGGCCUGGGUUCAAUCCCUGGUCAGAGAA